rnacentral:lncRNA from 1 species
UCGCAUAUUUCGUUUUAGUCCCGUACCAGGUGCUGUGUUUUGAAGGGACGGGGAAAUUUCCUUUUUGGUCCUCCUCUAUUUCCGCGCAUUGCAAUAGGGCCCUGUUUCCCAUUUUUAUUUCUAAUUGCACCCCAAGAACUCUGUUUUAAUUUUGAUUUCGUCCUUUUUGCCAUUUUUAUUUUUAAAUAUUGUUUGUAAUAUUAUAUUUUUGCUAUUAUCUAUUAUUAUCAUAUUUAUUAUUAUUCUCUA